UCGAAUGGUGGAAACUUGCGUGGGAUC
rnacentral:sRNA from 1 species